AAGCCGCCCGAAUGAAAAAAAGACCCCGGCUCGACCCCAGUUGUCCCGAACCUCCCCCGAACCGAUCCUCCAGCCCCCCGCCGCCGCGCCGUGAUGCAACCCCAGGCCCCGGUCGCCGCGCCCCCAGGGCCUCGCCACCGCGCCACGAUGCCACCUCUGCUGCGACCCUAGGGCCCGGCCGCCGCGCCGCCAGGCCACCUCCGCCGUGCCGCCAGGCCCCAGCCGCCGCACUACCAGGCCACCUCCACCGCGCCGCCAACCUUCCUUGGCUGCGCUGUCAGGCCCUACGUCGCCGCCGCACUACUCCAGCCAGCGUCCCACCGUGCCACGCUGCUCCAGCCGGCCUUCCACCGCGCUGUGCUUCCCCAGCCCGCCUCGCAAUGCGACGCUGCCCCAAGGCGUUCACGGCCGCUACCCCAGUCUGUUCACCACUGCCAACCAAGGCCGUUCAACGAUGGGUCGGUCAACAAAAGCAAUGACCUGAGGGAAGAAGACGGAGCUAAAAUGAUUCAGUUCAUCAUUAGCACCCUAUAACCCAAACAGUGAAGAACACACCCCUUGUACUUUUGCUCUUGUUCCUUCUGUCUCCUGAAUUCCACUCUUGAUGAGCAUGCUUGGUACUAGAUAGAUACUGCUGUCGUAGUUCUAAUACAAUAUAUUACAACAAUUCAUUGACAAAAAAUUGUCAAUUCAUAUAUGUAUGCAGCGGCUGUUCUGAUACUACUUCAGUAACCAGAAAAACACAAAAGUUCAACUAUAUUUAUACAAAAUAGUUUAAUAUUUUAUUCUAUGACACUCAAGAAAAACAGAAAUAAAAGAGGUUCAUCAUGUGAUGAACAAUAGUCCCAACAAGUGUGCUAGAGAUGCAAAAAAAUUGAUGGCAUAGUCGAUGCUAUUUUUCAUCCAAUUUCUGAAGAAAACUAAAGUUGAUCAGAGUAACUGAAGAAUAAUCUAUUAGUUCUCGAGUAUGUGUAAUGAUGCCAUUUUACUGUGCAUUUGUUUCCAUUGCGAUGGAUGUAUUCCAAGAUAUGGUUGUAUCAUUGUGUUGAAUAAAAAUACCAUGUUGCUGCAACAUUUUCUGUCAGCUCCUGUCAAGCAAUACAUGUAUGUGAGCAUCCUUCUAUGUAGUAAGUUCAUAGUCGAGAAGUCAGGAACUUCGGAAAAAGAACGUGAACAUAAAAAACCAUAAAAACCUGAACCUUAUCUUAGGGGAGUUCAAGAAGUCCGUGUCUAGCCGUCUGUGGUGUGUAUUCUUAUCAGUUCAUAGUCGAGAAGACAUGCAUUCUUAUCAGUUUAUUUUUCUAGCUGGCAGUUUUGUGUAUUUGGUUAGUUUGUGUGUGUAUAUGUUGCCAUCGUGGUAUACUAGAGACCACCCCACGAGAAAGUCGCCGAUCUGGUUGAGGCAUGCUCCUGUUCUCUAUUUUCAGUUGCACAAACAUUUAAAAGUUCGAACACCAAACCCUGGUAAGUUCUCCUUACAAAAACUCAUCUCUCAUAUUUGUUCCUAUUUUUGUAGGUUCCAGUUAAAACAAGAUGCAUAAGUUCAUCAUUUGUAUGCUUUUUAGUUCAUCUACUUCCCGAUGGUAUUUCCUUAAAUACUUCGGUCUUGUGCAGCUGGUACUAGUGUGAAUGGGUAGCAAGUUCAACUACCAAUCCACACCAAGUUCAGACCUCUUUUUGGAAUUGGGCCUGCCCCAUGAUCCAGCGUCGCCCUCCGCUGCCUCAGCACGCAGGCCGUUCACCACCACCACCAACGCCCGUUCAAUGCCGCCCCAACAACCCAGUGCGACUUUGUCUCCUUCAACUUAAAAAGCGGUUCAGCUCAGUGCAUGUCAGACAUUAAAGCAAUAUUCUGUAGUAGCUUCAAAAAAUGCAAAUGGUCAUGUUUCCACAAGACUAACGGAACACUGCCAAUUGAACUGAGCACUAGCGGAACUGUGAAGCACUGACGAAACACUACCAAUUGAAUUGAACGUUGACCACGUCUCCACCCUCCCCACGCCCGCCAAUGCUGCGACCACCCCUCCCCCUCACGAUUUCUCGUUGAUAUCGCUGUAUUCAUGCUUGUUACGUGAGUUGCCUGAUGGAAGUUCUGCAACUGUCAGUCCAGAUGGAAGAAGGAGAUCCGUCCAAAGUGUGAGUUUUGCGACGUCGACGUGCAAGUUCUACAAUUUAUCUGUCCAGAUGGGAGAAGGAGAUCAAUCCAACCGACGCAUCUGAAGCGACAUAUGCAGAGCCAUUCGCCUGAGAGCCAAAUCCUGGCGUGCCCAGCCGCUGCUCGUGAACCCCGCCUCCAUCAGCUCCACUUCACUGGAGCCGUCAGUCCACAGGAAUAGGGGUAGCGGAUCCCCUAUAGCGGCCAAAUCCCAGUGCGCCCAACCGCUGCUUGUGAACCUCGCCUCCAUCAGCUCCACUUCACCAGAGCCGUCAGUCCGCAGGAGUAGGGGUAGCAGGUUCACCCAACGUCCGACGCCUUCUUCCAUCUCCAAAAAUCUUGUUUUUUGAGUUCAGUUCUUCGUCACAUGUUUCACUAGCUGAAAAAUGCAUGGUGUUCUGAAAUUGCUUGCGGACCACUAGCUGAAAUUGCUUGACGAACAAAAGCAAAGUCCUUCUGCAGGGCCCAAACCCGCUGUCGUGCAAGAAAAAGAAAGCAAAGCCCCAACCAUCAGCUGCUCAAUCAUCAGAGUCUGAUGGUCGAUGGAGAGGCGAAGCGAAAGACGGUUAGGAAGCGCAAGAGAAGUGGCAAAGACAGUAGGUCCAUGUGUAUUUAACAGCAAGUCCAUGUAUUACUACAUGAGAAGUACUGCUAUUCCCUCACUGGAUUUGCAGGCUCACGACCAUCCUCCAACACCCCGUCAGUGCCACUGAUUUGAAGGACCUCGGUGAGCGUGUACUUCUCCUGGUAUACAAUUUCAUUCCUCCCUGUACUGCAGUCAUUUUGGUUAGUAAACUUGUAUCGACGAAGAAUAAUUGCACCAGGAAGUUCAUAUCUUAAAACUAGAUAAGUUCGAAAAACAAACCAUGACCAGUUGAAAAAGAACCACCCUCACCCUAUUUUGUAGCUCACCUCUAAUUCGUUUCUCUCUACUGCUCUUUUCUCUCACUAUUUUGUUUCUCCCUGUACUCCAACACGAGAGAGGUUUGGACAGACGCUAAUCACUAGCUCUCUAUGACGCCGCCGAUCACUAGAACGAAGAACACCAGCAGGAUGAGAAUGAAGUACAUGACAUAGACAAUGAGGACGACCAAAACAUGGAAUCCGUACACAUAGCACCAACUGCAAAUUCGAAUUUUCUGUCUAUGAUGAUUUGAUUGCUACUUCUUAAAGAAAGUGUACAUAACAGUUAGGUGUUUGUGCUAGAAAGGAAAACUUGUUUGAAUUAAAAACAUUGACCAGUACGAAUCAAAAACACUGAUCAGUUCGAUAGUGCUCUCUCUUACCUAUUUUGGUUGAUGCCACGAAUAGUGAAAAAAUUGUAUGGGAAUGUUUAAUUGUUACUAGCAUGUAAGUUCAAAAAAAUAAAACAGAGUCAGUUUGUCUAUGAAAUUUGAGGAAGCCCGUCAAUAGACCCGAGGAAAAUAACAUGCUCUUUAGGCGUUGUCACUAUUCCUGUGAGCACAAGUUUAAAAAAAUGUUUACAUUCUGCUCUUGCGUAUGUUUUUGGGCAGUACAAACACAUCGCCAUAGUGAGUACAAAUGCAACACCUUGGGAAGUACUA